UACGGAGGGUGCGAGCGUUGUCCGGAAUCACUGGGCGUAAAGGGUGCGUAGGCGGGUCUUUAAGUCAGGGGUGAAAUCCUGGAGCUCAACUCCAGAACUGCCUUUGAUACUGAGGAUCUUGAGUUCGGGAGAGGUGAGUGGAACUGCGAGUGUAGAGGUGAAAUUCGUAGAUAUUCGCAAGAACACCAGUGGCGAAGGCGGCUCACUGGCCCGAUACUGACGCUGAGGUGCGAAAGCGUGGGGAGCAAACAGG
rnacentral:rRNA from 1 species